UGUGUAGGCGGGACUGUAAGUCAGAGGUGAAAUCCCACGGCUCAACCGUGGAACUGCCUUUGAUACUGCAGUUCUUGAGUCUCGGAGGGGUUGCUGGAAUUCGUGGUGUAGCGGUGAAAUGCGUAGAUAUCACGAGGAACACCAGAGGCGUAGGCGGGCAACUGGACGAGUACUGACGCUGAGGCACGAAAGCGUGGGGAGCAAACA
rnacentral:rRNA from 1 species